CGGAGGUAAACACGGUCACAUCAAGUGAAAACUCUUCAGCAUGGCACAUUAUCACUGCUGAUAUUGAACAAGGAUUUAAAAGCUCAUAGGAUACAAGAUGAUCAUGGGUGGACCUGGUACCUCUACAAUUAUGCAUGUUUAAUAAAGAGGGUGUGGUUAAAAAAGUUUGAGUUUUGGAUGCUUCACUGUAAAUACAUACUAGUGA